ensembl:lncRNA
CCCACCCAUACAACACCGAUUAGAUGUCAAUUUCAUCACUAAGCAAAACUCCUGUAACUCAGUCAGUCUACAGCAUAGCACAGAGCAAAUAUCGAUAUUCUGAGUUUCUUCAGAAAGAUAAGCAAAAAAGCGAUCUGUUUGAGCAAGUUGAGCACGAGCAGGCAGCAGUGAAUGAAGUGGAGAGGGCAGAACAGCCAUAAAGUCAAAGUGCAGCAGCAGCAGAGUUAGCCACAGUUAUUGUUGUCUUGGAUGGCAGUCGAGCUCCUUGCCAUCCAGGAGUUCUAUACCAGGUGGUGUCAGAGGAAGACCCUAAAAAUUGUCAAAGACUCCUGCCACCCAAGUCAUAGACUCUCUGCUACAGCACGGCAAGAAGCACCGGAGCGCCAAGUCUGUGACCAAAAGGCUCCUGAACAGCUCCUGAAUGAAAUGGCUACCCGGACUAUUUGCAUUGACCCAUUUUUUUUUGUACUGGAACUAUGCACACUCACUAAACUCUAUUUGGACAGUGACACAUUUAGUUUUGUUUUGUUUUGGCUCUGUACUCCAGCACUUUGGAUUUGAAAUUAUACUGUUAAAGUGUAGACUGUCAACUUUAAUUUGAGAGUAUUUUCAUCCAUAUCGAACUGUUUAGAAAUUACAGCACUUUUUGUACAUGGUCCUCCCAUUUUUGACGUAGUAGAACGUUAUUUGGUCCCAUAUUCAUAGCACACAAUGAUUAUGUCAUCUUGUGACUCUACAAAUUGGUUGGAUGCAUUUGCUGUUUGUUUUGGAUGUGUUUCAGAUGAUUUUGUGCCAAAUAGAAAUUAAUGGUAAAUAAUGUAUUGUGUCACUUUGGAGUCACUUUUAUUGUAAAUAAGAAUUGAAUAUACAGUACCAGUCAAAAGUUUGGACACCUACUCAUUCAAGGGUUGUAGGAUAAUUGUAGGAUAAUAGGAUAAUAGUGGAUAAUAGGAUAAUAGUGAAGACAUCACAACUAUGAAAUAUCACAAAUGGAAUCAUGUAGUAACCAAAAAAGUGUUCAACAAAUCAAAAAAUAUCUUAGAUUCUUCAAAGUAGCCACCAUUUGCCUUGAUGACAGCUU